rnacentral:rRNA from 1 species
CCUACGGGGGGCUGCAGUGAGGAAUAUUGGUCAAUGGUCGGAAGGCUGAACCAGCCAAGCCGCGUGAGGGAAUAAGGUACUAUGGGUCGUAAACCUCUUUUGUCAGGGAGCAAAGGCGUGCACGAGUCGACGAAAGGAGAGUACCUGAAGAAAAAGCAUCGGCUAACUCCGGACCAGAAGCCGCGGUAAUCCGGAGGAGGGGAGCGUUAUCCGGAUUUAUUGGGUUUAAGGGGUGCGGAGGCGGUGGGUCAAGUCAGGGGAAAACUUCGGGGGCACAACCCCGUCGGGCCGUAGAAACUGACCCUUGAGUUAGUGAGAAGUAAGCGGAAUGCGUGGUGUAGCGGUGAAAUGCAUAGAUAUCACGCAGAACGCCGAUUGCGAAGGCAGCUUACCGGCGCUCAACUGACGCUGAGGCACGAAAGUGCGGGUAUCGAACAGGAUUAGAUACCCUUGUAGUC